GCAGGUACAGCCUCGCAGUAGACACCGACAGGCCGGGCUUCCUCCGAUCUACACCUCCACUCUAUCUCUCUCAAUCUAGUAGAACUUAGAAGAACUAAUUCUACUAGCAUUGGAUGCUAAGCCCUAAGUCUAUGUAGAAGAAAGGUUAUCCUUCGAGGGCACCUCUCAACUCUAUGAUGAACUUGUUCUCCUCCAGGGGCCAGGGGGUCUACUUACAUAGUCCCCUCAGGUAAACGUGGGCCGUCGGAUCAAACUAACAUUAAUUGAAUGGUUAUCCUUAAUCCUUUAGGUCGGUGAAGCAUAAUCCGCGAGAUUGGACGUGAUUGGCCAACUCCAGGGUGGGCGCCCUAGGGGGGAGGGCGGGCGCCCUGCCCCCGGGCCCGAUCGCCUCCCCGUUCGUUCCCGUGGCUUCUGGAGUCUUCUAGAUGGUAGAAAAUUGUGCGGUGCGUUAAUAUCUCUAUGUAAUCCCGACAUAUGGGCCUUUCUUCCUUAUUUCCUGAUAACCCCCUAUAUAAACAGAUAAACAACAAAACUCGUGGAAUUCUAUCAGAUCAAACCCUAAUUCAUUGUGUACUAUAGUUAGGGAAAUAUAUGGUCAAGAGUAGAGAUCCUUUCUUCUUAAUCCUGUUACUUGGAGUUUUUGUAUAUUUUUGAAAAGAAAUUUAGCAUACCUUUAUCCUCAUAGGUUCUCUCAGGUCACUCAUUAUCUUUUGUAUAUCUCACUGAGGUUGUUUUAAUUUGCUAAAAUUCUCAAGCAUACUUACCUUGCAUUUAUUGCCUGAUCAAAAUGGGAUCCGAGGAGAAGAAUGUCAUGCUCUUAGAUCAAAGACUUUAAAAUUUAAAAACUUGUCAACUCUUGCUGGCAUAUUGCUUAUUAGAGGGACCAUGGGCUAUCAUUUUCUUCAUUUUCUCUCUUUUCUUUUUUUUUCAGGUGGCUACCGAGGUACCCAUAAUUCUACUACCAGACACUUGUCCAUUUUUUCUGCGAGGUUGUCGAGCACUUGCUCCUUUUUAUUUCCUCGAAAUAUCCUUAUUUUUGCAUAGCCCAUGCCUCUAACGCAAUAAUACUUCAGAAGAGUGAAUCUUUCUGAAUAUGUGUCUUGAUCUUAGGAGCAUGAUAAAUCUCUCAACAAGGGUCUAACUCAUUUUGAACAAACUCAAUACAGAGUAGAUAGCUUUUAUCAUAUUAAUAUUUUUAGGUUUAUCAGGCAUAUAAAACACUGUGGGUGGUAGCUAGAGUUUUUGAAUAAAUUCUCCAAGCAACAAUGAUAUCAAGAGUAAGGUACUCAUACUCUACCAUCUUACAUUCCACAGUGACAUAAGCAGCACAGGGUUUUAAAUUGUUUUUUCAAUAAUUGCAAGCUUUCAGGAAAUAUCACAGAGUGAGAUUAAUCAUGAUUAGAAACAUUAUAACCUUUUUAAUUUAUCAUGUCAGAGACAAUAUUCUGCAUAAUCGAAGGUAUAUGUGUAUGUGUAAAGUGUGCAGAGUAUGUACCUGAAUUGUGGAGUGGUGUAGUCGAAGUGUGUUUGGCAUGUCGAGGGAUCUCCCCCAUAAUUGUUUUCUGCUUUCUUGCGUAAAGAUAAACUAGAGACACAAAAGACAUAAUAAUAAUAAUACUCUUUAUUAAUCUUGAGGCAUUUAUUACAAAUGACUAGUAAUGAACUGAGCUAAUAAUAGAUCUAAACCGAAUUUAAAGAUAAAUAACUAAGAUGCAUUGCCUCAUGAUCUAAUUUAGAUAGCUUAGCGGCGCUCUAACUCCCUGAUCUUCUUAUUGGCACUAGCAAGAUCAUGCCUAAGACCUAGUAUCACGGUUUUAUGGUUAGAGAGCUGCCUAGUGAUAGAGUUAACCGAGGACUGGAUGUCUAUGAUGACUCUGUCUAGCCUACGAACGUCCUCAUCAAUAUCUAUUAUAGUCUUGCGACGCUUAGGAGGUGUCUCGAGAGCAGU
rnacentral:lncRNA from 1 species